rnacentral:rRNA from 1 species
GUGCCAGCCGCUGCGGUAAUACGGAGGGUGCAAGCGUUAAUCGGAAUUACUGGGCGUAAAGCGCACGCAGGCGGUCUGUCAAGUCGGAUGUGAAAUCCCCGGGCUCAACCCGGGAACUGCAUUCGAAACUGGCAGGCUGGAGUCUCGUAGAGGGGUAGAAUUCCAGGUGUAGCGGUGAAAUGCGUAGAGAUCUGGAGGAAUACCGGUGGCGAAGGCGGCCCCCCUGGACGAAGACUGACGCUCAGGUGCGAAAGCGUGGGGAGCAAACGGGAUUAGAUACCCCGGUAGUCCACGCCCUAAACGAUGUCAACUAGGUGUUGGGGACCUUGAGUUCUCGGGUACCGGAGCUAACGCAUUAAGUUGACCGCCUGGGGAGUACGGCCGCAAGGUUGAAACUCAAAGAAUUGACGGGGACCCGCACAAGCGGUGGAGCAUGUGGUUUAAUUCGAUGCAACGCGAAGAACCUUACCAGGCCUUGACAUCCAGAGAACAAAGCAGAGAUGCAUUGGUGCCUUCGGGAACUC